rnacentral:rRNA from 1 species
CGGCAACAGCGCGGUGGUCCCACCUGACCCCAUGCCGAACUCAGAAGUGAAACGCCGUAGCGCCGAUGGUAGUGUGGGGUCUCCCCAUGCGAGAGUAGGGAACUGCCAGGC